rnacentral:rRNA from 1 species
UAAGCGGAGGAAAAUAAACUAACAAGGAUUCCCCUAGUAACGGCGAGCGAAGCGGGAAGAGCUCAAAUUUGAAAGCUGGCGCCUUCGGCGUCCGCGUUGUAAUCUCGAGACGUGUUUUCCGUGCGGCGCUAUGGACAAGUCCCUUGGAACAGGGCAUCGUAGAGGGUGAAAAUCCCGUACUUGCCAUGGAUGUACCGUGCUUUGUGAUACACGCUCUAAGAGUCGAGUUGUUUGGGAUUGCAGCUCAAAAUGGGUGGUAGACUCCAUCUAAAGCUAAAUAUCGGGGAGAGACCGAUAGCGAACAAGUACCGUGAGGGAAAGAUGAAAAGCACUUUGGAAAGAGAGUUAAAAGUACGUGAAAUUGUCGAAAGGGAAGCGCUUGAAGUCAGCCAUGCUGCGCGGACUCAGCCCGGCUGAUGCCUGGUGUAUUUCCCAGCAGCAAGCCAGCAUGGAUUUGGGUCGCCGGAGAAGGGCACGAGGAAUGUGGCACUUCGUGUGUGUUAAGCCUCGUGCUGGAUACGGCGAGCUGGAUCCAGGAACGCAGUGUGCCUCUGGCGGGUCUUCGGACACCUUCACACUUAGGAUGCUGGCGUAAUGGCUUUAAGCGGCCCGUCUUGAA